rnacentral:tRNA from 2 species
GCCUUGGUGGCGAAAUAGGUAGACGCACAGGACUUAAAAUCCUGUGGUGAUUAUCACCGUGCCGGUUCAAGUCCGGCCCGAGGCACCA